rnacentral:rRNA from 1 species
UACGAAGGGUGCAAGCGUUACUCGGAAUUACUGGGCGUAAAGCGUGCGUAGGUGGUGAGUUAAGUCUGUCGUGAAAGCCCCGGGCUCAACCUGGGAAUGGCGAUGGAUACUGGCUCGCUAGAGUGCGGUAGAGGAGAGUGGAAUUCCCGGUGUAGCAGUGAAAUGCGUAGAGAUCGGGAGGAACAUCAGUUGCGAAGGCGGCUCUCUGGACCAGCACUGACACUGAGGCACAGAAAGCGGUGGGGAGGCAAACAGG